rnacentral:rRNA from 1 species
UAUGGAGGAUCCGAGCGUUAUCCGGAUUUAUUGGGUUUAAAGGGUGCGCAGGCGGGAGAUUAAGUCGGCGGUGAAAUUUUGCAGCUCAACUGUAAAAGUGCCUUCGAUACUGGUUUCCUUGAGUGUGGAUGAAGUAGGCGGAAUUUGUGGUGUAGCGGUGAAAUGCUUAGAUAUCACGAGGAACUCCGAUUGCGCAGGCAGCUUACUAAACCACUACUGACGCUCAGGCACGAAGGCGUUGGGGAUCAAACAGGAUUAGAUACCCCU